rnacentral:lncRNA from 1 species
UAACUGGUGUGCUGUUUACAGAUUCCACCCAGUUGCAAACAGUGGCGGGGCAGGGACAGAGCAAAGGCUGGACUGCGUCUGUGCAAGACUCACUUGUGCUGUUUGUGGCGCUGGCCUGUGUUGUGGUGCUUAUGCUGCCACUUGAGGAUGCACAUGACACCAGCAGCCACUCAUUGCUUGCACACUUGCCUCUCAGCCACGAGUACAAGCUCUUUGCUGCCUAUAUUCUUGGACUCAUGACAACACUCAUUUUCCGCAAGUAAAGGAUGGUUUCUUUCUCCCGAGCUCCAGAACGGUUGGACACCCUUAAAGCCAAUCAAGCCAACCUUGAAAAAGGUUGGACAUGAAGUUGUGUGACCUGCUCCUGCGGAUGACGCUUGUUCAUGAUUAAAUAAAGUGUGCCUGAUUUUGGUAAAUAGUA